CGUUGAAGAGCUUGACAUUGGGGCGGGCGAGGAGGCGGCUCAUGAUGGUGGAGGUGAAGAGCGCGGCGUGGUGGAUCACGACGUAGCUGUCGGCUUCGUCAUAAGCCACGCCGAGCUCGUCCAGGAAGAGGUGGGCGGGCUUGCGGACGACCAUGGCCGAGAAGAGCUGGCCGCCGAGCCACGCACCGCCGCCGGGGGAGACGGACUGCUCCACGAUGGCCACGCGCACCGACGGAUCCUUGGAUAUCUCAUACGCGCAGGACAGCCCGGCGGAGCCGGCGCCGAUGACCACCACGUCAGUGUCGGCGUAGGUGAUCAUGUCGGUCAUGUAGCGGCGGGUCAUCUCGCGGGAAACGACCGACUCCUUGAUGGGCUCGAAGCGGAAGGAAUCGAGGUCGUACCUGGGGGCGGCGGAGGCGGCGGUGACGGACAAGGAAGGUCUGCCGCGGCCGGGGAGGGAGCGGAGGGCGGUGGCCGGGAGGCGGAAGCCGCUGAAGGACGAGCGGUGGUGGUUGUCGGAGAUGAGGGACUUGGGGUUGGAGAGGAGGGAGGAGGUGGCCACGGAGGCUGCCAUUGCAGGAGGGUGGCGAAAGGUGUACGUUUGGAGUUGGGGGAGAGGCCGGA
rnacentral:lncRNA from 1 species